rnacentral:misc_RNA from 1 species
UCCCAUUGCAAUUUUAACCUCUUGUAUGUUGAGAGGCGCUUGCUGCAAAUUUUCAACCUCAAUCUCCCAGAAACACCACCCAACUCACUCAAAUAGCUCUAAAAUCUGAUCAUCACCCUUAUCAGAGUUUUCAUUCUUCUCAUCUGAACUCUCUUCUUGCUUUUCUAUAUUCGUCUCUGUUCCUCCUUUUCUUCAUUAGCUGUCAUGGAUUUUUUGAUCUCCUCCUUAGCACUAUCUUCUUUCUUUUCCAUCUUCUCCUUUGUCGUCCUUCCUUCUCUGGUAGCUUCCUUGCUCUGUGUCUCCACCUUUGCACCAUCUUUUUUCUUUGCUUUCCUUUCCUUUUUCCUUCCUUCCCUAUUUUCUUCCUUGACAACACCAAAAUCUCUAGUGCCUUUCCCUUCUCUCCUUUCUUCGUUCCCUUCUCUACUGCAUCUUUUUAUGUGCCUUUCGUAACUUUUGCAUCCUUCUCUAGUGCAUCCUUCUCUAGCUCUUGCUGAUACAGAUAUUGGACAGAUAUCGGACAGAUAUCUUCCUUAAUUUCAUUAAGAUCAAGGUUUUGGGAUUCUGUUUUUCGACCUGCUUCCUGAACAACUGCUAAUGCUGAUUCAUGGCUUCUUUUUAUUACUGUUCAUGUCCAUCAUAAUCUCCUUUUCAUUGGCAUUUCCCCAUUCUGUCAAUCUAGAGAUGAAGAAAUUCGGGCAGGAAAUGGCAUGGAGCAAGGCCCAGUCUAGAUAUGGCACUUAAUGGAUCACUGUGGGGAAAUUGUUUACAGCUUCAUCAAACUUUCCUGGCAGGAAUUCUGCAACUUGGACGAGUUCAUCAAUCUUGUCAAACGCAUAUCUUGAUGGAGGAAAAAUGGCCACCACCACGGAUUCCAGGGCAAAAAUCGUGAUUACGGUCUAUGCCAGUUUCUUUCUUGGCUCCCCUUGCCUCGGACUGUAAUGAAAACGAUAAAACCUACCUGCCCGUCGCCAUUCCAAACUGAGAAAUGGUGUAGUCAUUCGCCUUUGAAGCCACAUAGGGACGACGGAAUCCUUCAAAUACCUGUAGCUAUGUUCAAGUACUCCUAAUUACGGCACGCGCUCACAGUAUUCCGUUUGCUCAAUUCAACUCGUCCAUGCCUCUUGGAUCAACCACCCACAGUGCGAACCCCAAAAAGCCAUAAGGCAUCAAAUUCCGAUUCCCAGAUU